rnacentral:rRNA from 1 species
UCUGCUCAGAUUGAACGCUGGCGGCAGGCCUAACACAUGCAAGUCGAGCGGUAGCACAGAGAGCUUGCUCUCGGGUGACGAGCGGCGGACGGGUGAGUAAUGUCUGGGAAACUGCCUGAUGGAGGGGGAUAACUACUGGAAACGGUAGCUAAUACCGCAUAAUGUCGCAAGACCAAAGUGGGGGACCUUCGGGCCUCAUGCCAUCAGAUGUGCCCAGAUGGGAUUAGCUAGUAGGUGGGGUAAUGGCUCACCUAGGCGACGAUCCCUAGCUGGUCUGAGAGGAUGACCAGCCACACUGGAACUGAGACACGGUCCAGACUCCUACGGGAGGCAGCAGUGGGGAAUAUUGCACAAUGGGCGCAAGCCUGAUGCAGCCAUGCCGCGUGUGUGAAGAAGGCCUUCGGGUUGUAAAGCACUUUCAGCGGGGAGGAAGGCGUUAAGGUUAAUAACCUUGGCGAUUGACGUUACCCGCAGAAGAAGCACCGGCUAACUCCGUGCCAGCAGCCGCGGUAAUACGGAGGGUGCAAGCGUUAAUCGGAAUUACUGGGCGUAAAGCGCACGCAGGCGGUCUGUCAAGUCGGAUGUGAAAUCCCCGGGCUCAACCUGGGAACUGCAUUCGAAACUGGCAGGCUAGAGUCUUGUAGAGGGGGGUAGAAUUCCAGGUGUAGCGGUGAAAUGCGUAGAGAUCUGGAGGAAUACCGGUGGCGAAGGCGGCCCCCUGGACAAAGACUGACGCUCAGGUGCGAAAGCGUGGGGAGCAAACAGGAUUAGAUACCCUGGUAGUCCACGCCGUAAACGAUGUCGAUUUGGAGGUUGUGCCCUUGAGGCGUGGCUUCCGGAGCUAACGCGUUAAAUCGACCGCCUGGGGAGUACGGCCGCAAGGUUAAAACUCAAAUGAAUUGACGGGGGCCCGCACAAGCGGUGGAGCAUGUGGUUUAAUUCGAUGCAACGCGAAGAACCUUACCUGGUCUUGACAUCCACAGAACUUUCCAGAGAUGGAUUGGUGCCUUCGGGAACUGUGAGACAGGUGCUGCAUGGCUGUCGUCAGCUCGUGUUGUGAAAUGUUGGGUUAAGUCCCGCAACGAGCGCAACCCUUAUCCUUUGUUGCCAGCGGUUAGGCCGGGAACUCAAAGGAGACUGCCAGUGAUAAACUGGAGGAAGGUGGGGAUGACGUCAAGUCAUCAUGGCCCUUACGACCAGGGCUACACACGUGCUACAAUGGCAUAUACAAAGAGAAGCGACCUCGCGAGAGCAAGCGGACCUCAUAAAGUAUGUCGUAGUCCGGAUUGGAGUCUGCAACUCGACUCCAUGAAGUCGGAAUCGCUAGUAAUCGUAGAUCAGAAUGCUACGGUGAAUACGUUCCCGGGCCUUGUACACACCGCCCGUCACACCAUGGGAGUGGGUUGCAAAAGAAGUAGGUAGCUUAACCUUCGGGAGGGCGCUUACCACUUUGUGAUUCAUGACUGGGGUGAAGUCGUA